rnacentral:tRNA from 1 species
GCUUGUCUAGCUCAGUUGGUAGAGCGCAAGGCUCGUAACCUUAAGGUCGUGGGUUCGAGCCCCAUCGUGAACA